GACGAACGCUGGCGGCGUGCUUAACACAUGCAAGUCGAACGGAAAGGCCCUGCUUUUGUGGGGUGCUCGAGUGGCGAACGGGUGAGUAACACGUGAGUAACCUGCCCUUGACUUUGGGAUAACUUCAGGAAACUGGGGCUAAUACCGGAUAGGAGCUCCUGCUGCAUGGUGGGGGUUGGACAGUUUCGGCGGUUGGGGAUGGACUCGCGGCUUAUCAGCUUGUUGGUGGGGUAGUGGCUUACCAAGGCUUUGACGGGUAGCCGGCCUGAGAGGGUGACCGGCCACAUUGGGACUGAGAUACGGCCCAGACUCCUACGGGAGGCAGCAGUGGAGAAUAUUGCACAAUGGGCGGAAGCCUGAUGCAGCAACGCCGCGUGCGGGAUGACGGCCUUCGUGUUGUAAACCGCUUUCGCCUGUGACGAAGCGUGAGUGACGGUAAUGGGUAAAGAAGUACCGGCUAACUACGUG
rnacentral:rRNA from 1 species